rnacentral:lncRNA from 1 species
GGCGGGCGUCCGCGUCUCUGGUCUGGAGAGAAGGCUCCGAAAUCCGUCUGCGCGAAAACAGCGUGGCAGCUGUCCCAUGCCAUAGUCCCAUCACUGGAGAGGCUGAGCCAGCAGCUCCCCAGCGUAGGAGUUCAUUGCCACCCUGCGCAGUAUACUGAGACCCCCACCCAUCUCAGGAAACAGGAGAGCAAGAAAAGAAAGGAUCUUGCUGAGUUGUCCUGGCUGGCCUUGAAUUUACAACACCUGCCUCAGCUUUCCAAGUAGACAGUAGUACGGGCAUGUAUCACCUCACCUGGCCCUUGGGGACUUUUAAGUGUUGCUUAUUGA